GUCUACCGCCCUACCCCUGAGAAAGCACCGGUUCUCGUCCGAUCACCGAAGUUAAACUCAGUAAGGCCCGGUUAGUACUUGGAUGGGUGACCGCCUGGGGAAUACCGUGUGCCGUAGGCA
rnacentral:rRNA from 1 species